GACACGCCCCCAACGUCUCCGAGCAACAGUGCCAAUUUUUCCGAUUUAUUUUUGUUAAUAAUACUUUUUUCUUUGGCGUGAGAAACUCAGAAAAUCAUAUUUAUUUUGACUUUACACGGACUUUACAGUGAGUCAUCCACCGAAGGUCAGCAAAUGGUGACCCUGUUUACGGAGCUUUCGUGCCCACCAAGGGGUUCUCGAUCGCGGCUUCCACUCCAGCCCCUGUGGUUCAGCGGUCUGCACGGCGGGACCAGAGGGCAGCUGCAUCAAGACUUGCAUCAGGCCAGCCAUGCUAAAAGUUAUUAGACAUGUAGAGAGGAGACCAGAAGAAACAGAGUGGGGGAAUCGAACCCGGGCUGCUGCACUAAGGACUCGGCCUACAUGGGACACGCUCUACCAGGUGAUGCUGACGUGCGUGGCCAAUCGGAUCAAGCGAAUGCACUGAUUUUGACUUGAGGGAAGAGCUACAGUUACUCAUGCGGAUGGACGGAUGCCAUACUGAGAGAGCUGGCUGGUGGAGGCGGGUGUCCUGCAUGCCAUUAACCAAUUAACCAGAGAGAGAGACAGAGAGAGAGACAGAGAGAGAAAGAGCCUGUUACAGG